rnacentral:lncRNA from 1 species
UCCACUUCUCUACCAACUUUGUCUCCACUUCUAUACCCACUCUUCCUUUCUCCCUCUGACUCCAUCAAUCUCUUUGGUUGAAGGUGUUGUUUUAGAAACUCACACAAACAUGCUUCCUCCAUUUUUAUUCUUCUUGAUUUUCCUUUUUCUUCUGCAUGUUUAUUGUUUUCCAUUUUUAAGCUAAGAUCCUCGCCUAUUAUUUGAACUUUUAAAUGUUUGAAUAUUUGCUUCUAAAUAACUUGAUUCAUCUAUUUUUUUCUUCAUUUAAAGCUAUGAAC